rnacentral:rRNA from 1 species
UACGUAGGUGGCAAGCGUUGUCCGGAAUUAUUGGGCGUAAAGCGCGCGCAGGUGGUUUCUUAAGUCUGAUGUGAAAGCCCACGGCUCAACCGUGGAGGGUCAUUGGAAACUGGGGAACUUGAGUGCAGGAGAGAAGAGUGGAAUUCCACGUGUAGCGGGUGAAAUGCGUAGAGAUGUGGAGGAACACCAGUGGCGAAGGC